GGCCUCCCAAUUCUUACCACAGGCUGUGUUCUAAAGACUAUAUAGAAAGAGGAGGUACAGUAAAUGCACCCCAUAUACACUUCAACACAGGCCCUUUGCCUGGUCUGUAUUGUGAUUUGGGGGACAAAA